CCUACGGGAGGCAGCAGUGGGGAAUUUUGGACAAUGGGCGCAAGCCUGAUCCAGCAAUGCCGCGUGCAGGGUGAAGGCCUUCGGGUUGUAAACUGCUUUUGUACGGAACGAAACGGUGAGCUCUAAUACAGUUUGCUAAUGACGGUACCGUAAGAAUAAGCACCGGCUAACUACGUGCCAGCAGCCGCGGUAAUACGUAGGGUGCGAGCGUUAAUCGGAAUUACUGGGCGUAAAGCGUGCGCAGGCGGUGAUGUAAGACAGAUGUGAAAUGCCCGGGCUCAACCUGGGACCUGCAUUUGUGACUGCAUCGCUAGAGUACGGUAGAGGGGGAUGGAAUUCCGCGUGUAGCAGUGAAAUGCGUAGAUAUGCGGAGGAACACCGAUGGCGAAGGCAAUCCCCUGGACCUGUACUGACGCUCAUGCACGAAGACGGUGGGGAGGACGAAACGAAGGAGUUAGUACUACCCGUACGGUACGGUACCGACCGACCCGUAAACCGUAACUGUCUAACGUUGGUUGGUUGGGUUCGUUC
rnacentral:rRNA from 1 species